GGAGAUCCCUGUGCACUGUGGUUUUUGAAGGUUUGCUGGUAAUCUGUGUUUGAAUCAUGAAGUGCACUUUUCAAUGGACACGACAUUCUGCUAACUGGAACAGUAACUGUUUAUAAAACGAAGCCAGACCUGGGGCUUCAGUGCUCGUGAAGCCUUCCAGCUCCUCAGGUUGGAAAAAUUUAUUCUCUGGAAGAGUGGUAAUGCUUUGGAACUGCCCAGGGAGUGAUGGAGUCCUGGUCCCUGGAGGUGUUCCAGAGCCAUGGAGAUGUGGCACUGAGUUUGAGGCUUGUAGACCUGGCUGGGAAA